rnacentral:rRNA from 1 species
AGUGAACGCUGGCGGUAGGCCUAACACAUGCAAGUCGAACGGCAGCACAGUAAGAGCUUGCUCUUACGGGUGGCGAGUGGCGGACGGGUGAGGAAUACAUCGGAAUCUACUUUUUCGUGGGGGAUAACGUAGGGAAACUUACGCUAAUACCGCAUACGACCUACGGGUGAAAGCAGGGGAUCUUCGGACCUUGCGCGAUUGAAUGAGCCGAUGUCGGAUUAGCUAGUUGGCGGGGUAAAGGCCCACCAAGGCGACGAUCCGUAGCUGGUCUGAGAGGAUGACCAGCCAAAGUGGAAUUGCGGAACGGUCCAAACUCCACGGGAGGCAGCAGUGGGGAAUAUUGGACAAUGGGCGCAAGCCUGAUCCAGCCAUACCGCGUGGGUGAAGAAGGCCUUCGGGUUGUAAAGCCCUUUUGUUGGGAAAGAAAAGCAGCAGGUUAAUACCCCGCUGUUCUGACGGUACCCAAAGAAUAAGCACCGGCUAACUUCGUG